GAUGAACGCUGGCGGCGUGCCUAAUACAUGCGAGUCGAGCGAACAGACGAGGAGCUUACUCCUCUGACGUUAGCGGCGGACGGGUGAGUAACACGUGGAUAACCUACCUAUAAGACUGGGAUAACUUCGGGAAACCGGAGCUAAUACCGGAUAACAUGUUGAACCGCAUGGUUCAACAGUGAAAGACGGUCUUGCUGUCACUUAUAGAUGGAUCCGCGUCGCAUUAGCUAGUUGGUAAGGUAACGGCUUACCAAGGCAACGAUGCGUAGCCGACCUGAGAGGGUGAUCGGCCACACUGGAACUGAGACACGGUCCAGACUCCUACGGGAGGCAGCAGUAGGGAAUCUUCCGCAAUGGGCGAAAGCCUGACGGAGCAACGCCGCGUGAGUGAAGAAGGUCUUCGGAUCGUAAAACUCUGUUAUUAGGGAAGAACAAAUGUGUAAGUAACUAUGCACGUCUUGACGGUACCUAAUCAGAAAGCCACGGCUAACUACGUG
rnacentral:rRNA from 1 species